GUGCUUGGAGGACUGAGUUUGACC
rnacentral:piRNA from 1 species